UGGCCAACAUAUUACAUUAUCCCUUCAAAUGCUAUCUGCUUAGUGCUGUAUAUAUUAGUUGUGUUUGAAGCAGGAUUUUAAUUUCAAACCCAAGGACAAUUGGAGCUGAUAUAACGUGGGAAUAUUUUCCAAACAUCACAUCCUUUAGAAAAAAAUAAUGAGAAAGAAGUUCUUCCUUCAUUAGGAAUCUAAACCAAACAUCUCCCUUUAUUUAUGCAGAAAAAUCAAUUACUGUCCACACAAGGAACUUUCUCCUUAAAUUUUCAUUCAUGCAUGCAGACUAUAAAUAUCGACCUCUCUAGCUUUCAAUUACAACUUAACAUUAGAAAUUGGCUUUAGUCACCACAUCUUUUCUGUCACUAAUCCUUUGUUUUUCGGUAGUUCCGUCAUUCAUCCUUUCAAAACUUGCUCCGACUUCGAAUUUCUUACAUAUAUCAAUGGGAAAUAGUGAAGCAAAACAGCAAGAACGUCGCAUGCAUUACGAAUUUCCGGCCUCUCAUCCUCCAAACACUUCACUUCCGAGCCAUGAUCAUACUCGCUAUACGAAUAGUAGCCAGGUCAAACUAACUAAUGCGUCUGGAGCUGAAGCUGGGCAGAUUGGAACGGCACAAGUGCACAAGGAAGAGAUGAAUUUGGAAGACAAUGAUGCAUUUUCUGACUACAUUAACCGCACGAAAUUUAAGAUCAGAGCUACGACCUCCAAUAUUGAUCCCGAGAAUGUUGCAUCCACAGCAGAUGGUGUUUAUGAAACAGAGCAAGAAGAUAAUGAGUAUGAAAUGUUUACGGAUUUUGUCAACCACUCUAAGUUUAAGAUUAGAAAGACAUCCAGCAUCGGAAGUAGAAACAACAUCUCCUUUAAGAAGUAGGAGACUGAAAUUCUGCAACCAUAUGUGUUCUGGUGAUUGCCGGCAUAUUUAUGGAUUGUGUUCUCCCUCUUUAAUUCUUUUAUCAUAUUUACGUCCUGGAUACACAGGUUAUGUAAUGUUGUUGAAUAGUCCUCUAUGUAUUUCUCAGUCAAUGAUAUCGAAUCAUUCUUUUUCAUGUGUUUCUAGAGCCCAUUUGCUAAAAGUGUGACUUAUAUGCAUUGCAGCAAGCUUCCUUGACAAUUGGAAUCUGUUUCUUUACCUCUUCGAAAGGCGAUAGUUUAAAAGGCGAGACUCCUUUGCAUAGCUAGCUAAGCAAAGAUAGAUGUUUGGAAAAAGCUCAACCAUGAAGUGCUUCUGCAUCUCAAUUUUUGUACGCGCUAAUUGGACCGAGAUAAAACAAAACAAAUCCAACCUAUGUUACAUAUGCAGGGUUUAUUCAAUUCAGGCAAUAAAACAUCUAAAUAAUAUUCUAGUUGGUACGCACUUGCUGGAUCCCACUUUUAUGAAAAAAUUAUGGGCUAAGAAGCUGGGAAUAUGAUUCCCAUACAUCACUUCAAUUGAAGAAAUUUCUCCCUUAUGAGCAAUUUUUUGCUAUUCAGCCAUAGUGGGUUUCCCUUCAUUUCUGUGUGUAUCUUUCAGUUUUCGACCAAGGAUCGCAAGGACAUGCUCUCGAGAUUUCUCUUUACCUCAUCUCUUAAACUUAGUACAAGCUUGCUAUCAAUUUAAUUUCUAACAUAAUAAUGGGAAAGAGUUAUAGCAUAGCAGAUGCUGGAGCACCGCAGCAUUUGUUGGUUGGUUGGAUAGUACAGAGACCUUGACAAUGCUUUGUGGUUGGUUUGCAGAUUUUCAUGGCAGAUGCUGGAGCACCGCAGCCGACACCGUGAAUUGGUCAAUGACAGACUAGUUUCUUUAGGGCAGUUGUAUCGUUAUACUGUGGGUUCACUUUUGAAACUUUGACUUUGAACUAGUAAAUGUCAGAUUUUCGGUAGGCUGGUUAACCGUAGGGUUUCUGAAUUCGUGUUGUUCUUAAUUAAUGGAUAUGCUCUUAUUAGUAGCUUGGCACAUUGUGUUCAUGUUGAUGCAUUCAGGAGGAGCCGUUACAGCACAUAGCAACUAGCAUGGAAGAAAAAGUACAAAAAUGAAUGCGACUGGAAAAUGACAAUAAAAUAUGUUUUAUGUUGAAAUACGAUGACUUUUAGCAAUUUUUGUUAAAAUGCGAAUUUUUACCACUUAUUGAGUCUAUAUAGCAUUUUUUUUAAUACAAAAUUUUAAAGUUGAAGGAUAAAAGAAUCGAUACGAAAAUUCUAGCAAGUCAUAAAACAUCUUUGCAAAAUGUGGAGAAUGAUUACCUUUCUACACAGCAUAUAGUGAGUGAGGAACGUACAAGAGAAAUGCAAGAGGAGAAGGUAGCUCACAUUCCUCGUAAUGUCUUGAAUGAAUUUUAAAAAGUUUAGUGACACAAAAAUACCACAAAAAUUACAAAAUAAGUUUAGUUUUCCUAAUUAAAUCACAAUAUGGUGUAUGCAGAACUUCGCUAAACUGAUUAAAAACACUCACUGAUUUUGAGAAAAAUUUAAUAAACCAUGAGAUUAAUGAAAUAACCUAGAAGUUUUUUUUUAUCGAAUAGACUUUCUAUCAUCUUGAACUUCUCCACAAAAAGACUGCUGUCGUAGAAUUUCGCAAAAUUGAUUAAAAACGGGAAUUAUUUUUUACAGAUUUUUUGUGCAAAUAUUUCUUACAAAUUUUGUGAAAGGUACAGAAGGACAUUAUAGUUUUGGCAGCUUUUCAAGGAAAUGUUUUUAGUAAAAUCAAGUUGGAUUGCUUAUUUUCCUUGUGUUAUUUGGUAGAUGAAUGCAUUAAAUAGGUUGGUUGUUUCCCACCAGAAAUCCAUGAUGCUUGUUUUAGACUUUGAACUAUAAAAACAAUGGAUUAAAGGGAAAUUUUAUUUGAACCAUGUAACCUCUUUUUACACCCAACUUAAAUUUAAAUUAUUAAUUGUCUAUUUUACCCUUUUGCAUAAUUACUAUUAAGUACAAAAUGAAAUUAAUAAUAAAACUCAAAUUUAUCAAUAAACCCAUUAAACCCUUCCAUCAGUUCUUGUUUAUCAUACGUUCAUUCUAGCUAAAACCCUAAUAGGUCUUGUAGAGAAAAACAAGUUUUUUUUUAUUGAUGGAUGGUGAUUUUGUAGUUUUGAAUCCUCCAACUAAGGUAUGACUCAAUUUAUGAAUAUUUUGUUUGUUUGAUUUCAAUUUUUUUAAAGUUUAGAAGAUGAGUAUUUGGGUUUCAAUUUUUUCAUCAAUCCCGAAUGGUUUGUUAAACUUUUUGCAAUUGGAAAAUUCUAAGAAAAACUUCUUACUAAUGUUCUUAGAUUAUAAACUUCCUUACUUGUUGAUAAAUAGAAGGGGAUGAAUUGUUUGAUUUGUUGCUUAUGCACAUUAGUAGAAAGAAAAAAGGCAAAUAUCUGGCUUUGGUAGCAGAAAGAAAAAAAAAAAGUAGUCAUGGAAAUGCUAGUGGGAAGAGGGGGUGGGGCAAGGACACCUUUUUAAAAAUAAAAAAUAAAAACAAUUCAAUUACAGAUGUUAUUUUAUAAAGGAAAUGGGUGUAAAGAUAACUUAACAUUUUGAAUUGGGUUUGAUAGGGUAGUUUAGGUAAUAAAUUUGGGUUUAAAGAGAGAUUAAUUCUUCAAUAAAAAACAAUAUGGGUGAAGAGAGUAAAUUGGGUGUGGAAAGAGGUUACAUGGGUUCAAAUAAAAUUUCCCUUAUUAUAUUAGCAUAUUCAUAAUUAUUUUUAAAGGUCGCCAAUUUGGAAGAGCUAGGGUUUCUGUAUGUGCCAAAGUUUCAUUCUUACCAUACUAUAUUCUCUAUGCUUUUUACCUAAACUUUUCGUUGCUUUUGGAAGCUAAUUAAUUAAUUAUGCUUUGAUAUAAUGUUAAUAUAUAGCAUAAUCCCUUCAAAUGCUAGUUGUUUAGUGCUGUGUAUAUAAGUUGUGUUUAAAGCAGGAUUUUAAUUUCAAAACCAAGGACAAUUGGAGCUGAAAUAUCGUGAGAAUAUUUUCCAAACAUCUCAUCCUUUAGAAAGAAAAAAAAUAAUGAGAAAGAAGUUCUUCCUUCAUUAGGAAUCUAAACCAAACUUCUCCCUUUAUUUAUGCAGAAAAAUCAAUUACUAAUUUCCACACAAGGAAUUUUCUCCUUAAAUUCUCAUUCAUGCAGACUAUAAAUAUCGACCACUCUAGCUUCAAUUACAACUUAACCUUAGAAAUUGUCUCUAGUCACCUAUUGGAAGCAACUUUGUGUCAAUCACAACUUUGUGUCAAUCAACUUUGUGUCAAUCACAACUUUGUGUCAAUCAACUUUGCGUCAACUUUGUGUCAAUCAACUUUGUGUCAACUCCUUAAUUCAAGGAGCUUGUCUUCCCUAAACCAUUUGGUCGGUUGUCUUCCCUAAGCCACCUUUGUGGUGUAAAUCAAGGGGUCAAUCUCCUUAUAUAUUGUUGUACAAUUGUAAUGAUAUUAUGAUGAAAAUACAAAACAUACUUUGAAAAUCAACAUGGUAUCAGAGCAGGAAAUCUAACCUGCCUCUGCUCUACUACUAUCUGAGGGUGUUCAAUCUUCAAAAUGACUGAAGACAAUUCGUUAGGAUCAGAAGUUGAAAGUUCACAUGUGAUUUCCUCCAUGACUGUGCAUGAGGUGGAUGUCAACCCAAAUCAAAGAUUAAGCUUAGUUGUGUUGAAUGAGUUUAAUUACUUGCCUUGGUCGAGAGCAGUGUCUCUGGCUCUAGGUGGAAGAUCCAAGUUAGUGUUCAUAAAUGGAAGCAUCAAAGUACCUGAUGCUUCCUCACCAACCUAUGAAUCCUGGCUUAGCAAGGAUCAUCUAGUUAUGUCAUGGCUCUUGAAUUCCAUGGAACGGAAAUUAGCUUAAAUAUUUAGUUACUCUGAAUCUUCAUACCAGCUAUGGGAGGCGGUCAAGGAAAUGUAUGGCAGCCAGAACAAUGUUGCAAGGGUUUUCCAAUUAAAGAAGGACAUCUCCGAUCUGCAACAAAACGGCAAGCUGUUUGUGCAACUCCUAGGAAGCAUGAAAAGCAUGUGGAAUGAGUUGGAAAUUUAUCGCCCUCAUACAACCGACGCAGCACUGCUACGAAAGAGAGCAGAAGAAGACAAGAUAUUUCAACUCUUAUCCAGUCUCGAUUCAACGUAUGAAGAUCUACAAUGUCACAUACUCAUGAACAAUGAACUUCCUUCCUUCACCAGUGUAUGUGCAACAAUCCAACGUGAAAAAGUAAGGAGGAAAGUUAAAAUCAUGGGUAUAAUGGCCAGUGUACCUGAGGCUAGGGCCUAUUUAACCAACAAGAGAAAGUACAAAGGAAAGCAUCUAAACUUGAAGUGUCAACACUGCAACAAUAUAGGUCAUGUUAAAGACACAUGCUGGAUUUUACACCCAGAAUUAAAGCCUGACUUCAUGAAGGACAACAAGGGUUUACAAAGGGUGAAUCGUACUACACCGCGCAAAUCAUGCGUCUGCCUCUAACUCUGAUAAAUUCAAGAACUUCACAGCGAAUCCAGCUGAACUCAUGAAUGAGUUUAUGUUUUACCUUUAAGGCAAGAAAGGAGGGGCUGGAAUUGACCGUGCAGACAACAUAGCAGAAGGGAACACGACGGCAUUGCUUGGCAAGUUUGCGGGUUUCUUGGCAGACACGAAACCCGUACCCCAAGAGAACAUGCAAGGUAUCAUGAAAGCCUUUAAAACUACUCUUAAAAUAAAUUUGUUGCAUGAUUUUUGGGUUUUAGAUUCGGGUGCCACAAAUCAUAUGACUAACCAUGUGUCUAAGUCUCAAAAGUUUGAAAAAUUCACUAAUCCUUCCCAAGUUUCAAUUGCAAAUGGUGAGAGUGUAAAGGUUUUAGGAAAGGAAAAAAUAAAAAUAAUGUCAGAUGAAAUUGAAUCAAUGGCUUUGUAUGUACCUUCCUUCCCAUUUCAACUUCUAUCUGUGGGAAAGAUUACAAAUACCUUGAAUUGCUUAGCUAUAUUUUCUCCUCACAAUGUCAUCUUUCAGGACUGUGCCACCAAGAAGACGAUUGGUGAAGGGUUUUAUUUAGAAGGUCUCUAUUACAUAUCAAAAGCAAUCCCAGAGGGUUCCAAGCCAAGUUCAAUCCCAUUCAAGAUAAUCAAUUGUGGCAUCAACGUUUAGCUCACCCUUCUCCACCCAUUUUGUCAACUUUAUUUCCAAACUUAGGGAAUGAUGCUAUUUCAUGUGAAACAUGCCACUUGUCUAAGGCCACUAGAUUAUCUUUUAACUCUUCCUUGUCCAGGGCUAGUAAGUGUUUUGAACUAGUUCAUUCAAAUGUAUGGGGACCAACUAGUGAAUCUUUUGAUGGUUAUAAGUAUUUUGUGAUCUUUGUUGAUGAUUUCUCUCGAGUCACAUGGUUGUAUCUUCUAAAGUCUAAGAAUGAAGUUAUGGAAGUAUUUAAGGACUUUCAUAACCUUGUUAAAAACCAUUUCUCCUCUCAAAUUCAAACAUUAAGGUCUGACAAUGGCACCAAAUAUAUGUCCCAUAUCAUGAAACAAUAUUUAAGCACUCAUGGCAUCAUGCAUCAAACAAGUUGUGUUGGCACACCUCAACCAAAUGGUGUAGCCGAACGCAAAAACCGUGACUUACUUGAAAAAACAAGAGCACUAAUGCUACAAAUGAAUAUACCAAAGAAAUUUUGGUCCCAAGGGGUUAUGGCAUUUGCUUAUAUCAUCAAUAGAUUACCCAGUCGAGUCUUGGAUUUCAAGUCUCCCCUAGAGGUCAUGAAAGGAAGUAAAAUUGAUCUCUUACACCUUCGAGUUUUUGGCUGCAUCUGUUUUGUGCAUAUUCAAUCUCAUCACCGAGAUAAAUUGGAUCCUAGAGUUGUUAAAUAUAAUUUUCUUGGUUAUUCAUCUACACAAAAGGGAUAUAAGUGUUAUAAUCCUCAACUAAGAAGAUUGAUUGUGUCCAAAGAUGUUCGAUUCCAUGAAACUAAUCCUUUUUUCAGCAAGUCACAUGAAAUCACAAGUCAAGCGGAUGACAUCUUGGAUAUGUUCUCACUACCAAGAAUCGAACUUGAGGCUCCUCAACAACAAGAUCCCAGUCAUGUCAACAUUGAUGCAUAUCUCAAUGAAAGUAGCAAUGAAGGGUCUCACUCUAAUGGUACACGGCAUGAAGAUGGUGAUAAUUAAGAUGACCCUCACAAUACGGUCCAAAAUGUGAACGAGUGUGAGACAACUCUUCCUGCUCCUCGACGCAAUCCAAUGCGUGUUAGGAAAACUCCCACAAGACUUCAAGACUUUGUCAUCUACAAACCCACACAUCCCAUCUCCCAAUAUGUGUCGUACAAGAGAGUGACACCAGCCCAUGCUGCAUUCCUAAACACCAUAUCAAGUUACAAGGAGCCUCAUAUUUUCCAUGAGGCCAACAACCAAGAGGUUUGGAAGGAAGCAAUGCAAGAAGAACUUAAAGCUCUAGAUCAACACAACACCUGGAGUAUCACCAAACUUCCCAUAGGCAAGAAAGUUGUGGGUUGCAAAUGGAUUUAUAAACUCAAAUUCAAGUCAGAUGGAUCAAUUGAAAGACAUAAAGCAAGAUUGGUAGCUCAGGGAUUCACUCAAACAUACGAGGUGGAUUACAAAGAAACGUUUGCACCUGUUGCCAAAAUGAACACCGUGAGAGUGCUAUUGUCCGUGGCAGUAAACAAAGGGUGGUCCAUGUACCAAAUGGAUGUGAAGAAUGCAUUCUUGCACGGAGAUCUCAAAGAAGAGGUCUAUAUGAAAUUGCCACCAGGGCAUCCUCAAAGCAAUGAACCGAAUUUGGUGUGCAAAUUGCACAAAUCCAUUUAUGGCCUGAAACAAUCUCCACGAGCAUUGUAUGCCAAACUAAGCUCAGUUCUCACUAGUGUUGGUUUCAUAAGCAGCAAUGCCGAUUCAUCACUAUUUGUUCGCACAUAAGCUGUGGGCAAAUUGGUUGUGCUGAUCUAUGUUGAUGAUCUGAUAAUUACGGGUGAUAAUGCUGACGAGAUCCUCAACCUCAAACAGUCCCUCAAACAAAGGUUUGCAAUUAAAGACCUUGGGAUAUUGAAGUACUUCCUUGGUAUAGAAGUGGUAACCUCGCACAAGGGGCUGUUUCUUAACCAAAGAAAGUAUGUCUUGGAUUUGCUCAAGGAAGCCAACAUGAGCGAUGCUAAACCGGCCAUUACUCCUCUCGACAGCAAGCAUAAACCUAGCUUGAAGGCCACGCCACUCACGGAUAUCAGCCAUUAUCAGCGAUUGGUGGGUAAGUUAAUCUACCUAACAAUCACUAGACCCGACAUCACAUAUUAUGUAAGUCUUGUGAGCCAAUUCAUGCACUCCCCGACUCUUGAGCAUUUGACCCUUGUUAAAAGGAUCUUACGCUACUUAAAAUGAUCGGUGGGUCGUGGAAUCCUUAUGUAGAAGAAUGACAACACACAAAUCAUGGGAUAUUGUGAUGUUGAUUGGGCGGGGAAUGCCAUCGAUCGCAAGUCCACAACUGGCUACUGUACUUUUGUCGGUGGAAACUUGGUCACAUGGAAAAGUAAAAAGCAAACUGUUAUAGCCAGGUUAAGUGCCGAAGCUGAGUAUCGUGCCAUGGCUUCAACUGCGUGUGAGUUGAUCUGGCUCAAGGGGCUUUUGUGCGAUUUAGGUGUUCCUACAACUCUUCCUAUGUCCUUAUUUUGUGACAAUCAGGCAGCCAUGCGUAUAGCAUCAAACCCAGUGUUUCAUGAGUGGACGAAACACAUUGAAGUUGACUGCCAUUACGUUCGAGAACAGGUGCAGUCGCAGGUGAUUCAGACACACUAUACAAGAAGCUUCGACCAACUGGCCGACAUCUUCACAAAGCCUUUGGCUUCUCAUCAGUUUCAGCGACUUCUGUCCAAGCUUGGAUCCAUAAACCUCCUGGAUCUAGCUUGAGGGGGCGUAUUGGAAGCAAUUUUGUGUCAAUCACAACUUUGUGUCAAUCAACUUUGUGUCAAUCAACCUUGUGUCAACUUUGUGUCAAUCAACUUUGUGUCAACUCCUUAAUUCAAGGAGCUUGUCUUCCCUAAACCAUUUGGUCGGUUGUCUUCCCUAAGCCACCUUUGUGGUGUAAAUCAAGAGGUCAAUCUCCUUAUAUAUUGUUGUACAAUUGUAAUGAUAUUAUGAUGAAAAUACAAAACAUACUUUGAAAAUCAAUAUCACCACAUCUUUUCCCUCACUAAUCUGUUGUUUUUCUGUGAACUCAUUUUCCAAAACUUGCUCCGUUUUCGAAUUUCUUACAAAUAUCAAUGGGAAAUAGUCAAGCAAAACAGCAAGAACGCCGCAAGCAUUACGAAUUUCCGGCCUCUCAUUCUCCAAACACUUCACUUCUGAGCCAUGAUCAUACUCGCUAUUCGAAUAGUAUCCAGGUCAAACUAACUAAUGUGUCUGGAG
rnacentral:lncRNA from 1 species